ACCCCCUGCCAGUCCCUGUGCUCUCCACAGACCCCAGUUAUGAUGUCUACUACGAAGGGGAACGCGUUGCUUUCAUAUGCACGGCUCCGACGAUGAAGAGCGUAGAUGGAUUUCGGUUCUUCAAUCGAAGUGGGGACCAAGUCUACAAACGUACUUCCUACUCUCACACAAUUGCCUGGUUCCAGCUCACAGCUGCAAAAGCGUCUGCCAUGGAGUACACGUGCAUGUACUGGGUGAAGGAUGCUGGACGAGAAAUUCUUUCCAAUAGGAGCCUUCCUCUUUCAAUCAACGUUCAGGAUGCUCCAGUGGCCCCGGUUUUGUCCCUGGAUCCUCAGCAGCCAGUCUACAGAUACGGGAACAAUGUCAAGCUCCUCUGCACCGUCCCCUUUUCUUCAUUCUACAUCAGAGAAUUCCAGUACUAUGGAGACUUUGGACUUGCAAUCUCCAUCCCAGUUGUGAAACUGCAAAACUACAGCUACAACCUGCAAAUCACAGGAAGGGAGGUCUCCGGGUCUUACAGUUGUGCCUAUUUUGUAUUUAAGUCUGGACGUGCCGUUCGCUCCGAGAGCAGCCCCUGGGUCAACGUCUACGUGAAACGCCAGAUAAUCGGCUGGGUUCGAGAGAUCCUUGUUGGUGGCUCGUUCUUUACCAUCAAUGGCCUCAUCUUUUUCUUCUCCCACCGCCUCAAGAAGAAAAGAGAUCUGGAAGAAGGAUUCAGGAUGGACUAACAAGAUGAGUUAGAAGAAGAACCCUUAAAGGUUUUACUCUGUUUUGCCAAGGCAAUCCGUUCCGUUGGGCCCUGCCUGAUUCCUCAUUGUCUGCCUCAGUGUCCUGAAGAGACAGAAGCAGUGAACUGGAAGUACCUGACUACUCCUCUCCUCUGUGCACAACCCCAUGCCUUGAGUCUUACCAAUUAAAGCUGGUUGUUGUAUUUAGGUCUUGUGUGUUUCAUGGGAAGGUGUUUCUUUCCAUCCUCCUUCCUGAAGUGUGUGUAUUUGUGUGUGCUUGUGCACAGCCUCGGGGUCAUGGCAGAGAAAAUCUCUGGGUUUUAGGGUUGUGACUAUUUUGCAUUUCAGUCUAGACGUGCUGUUGGCUCAGAGAAGACCCUCUGGGUUGAUUUGUGCGUCUGCUCUAUCCCACACCUAACCCACAAUUAAACCUGGUUUUUGCUUGCCUCUGAAAUUCAGCCUCAUUUCUGAAUUUUCACAGCACCUCCUCUGUGGAUGAGCGUGGUGUUAACCAGGCCUGCCCCGUGGGGCUGAGUUUCCCUUCCUCCAAGAAGACACAAGGCACUGUCCCCUGGGCAUUGCCUUGCUGCUUUGACCUCAGCCAUCGCUCACAAGGAUGCAGUCGGCUGUUGCUUCUUCCAGGCAACCCCGUGGCACCUCCUCGAGGUCUUCCCAGCCCCAGGAGGUGAUCGAGGAGUCCUUUUGGCCAAGGCGAGGAGGAGCAGGGUAUUUCUGUGUGAAUACUUAAGGUUUGCCCACGCAAAGUCAAGUGAGCCAGGUGAGAACCCCAAACUCCUCGAGGAGCAGCAGAUCUUAACCCAUGGAUCCAGCUGGCAAAGGAAUGAUUUGGAUAUAUAAGAGCUUUUUCUUUUCCACCUUAUUUCAGGAGGGCUUCAGGAAAAGGGGAGCUGUGGGCUCCCAAGCUUCCACUCCACGCCAGGCUUCAAAGACACGGUGGCCAAAGAAAGAUUUUUCUUCAGCAUCUCCCACUGCCAUAGCU
rnacentral:lncRNA from 1 species